GACGAACGCUGGCGGCGUGCCUAAUACAUGCAAGUAGGACGCAGUUGCGAACGGGUGAGUAACGCGUAGGUAACUACCUAUUAGAGGGGGAUAACUAUUGGAAACGAUACCUAAUACCGCAUACUUGUAGAUGGACCUUCGUUGUAUUAGCUAGUAGGUAGGGUAAUGGCCUACCGAGGCAACGAUACAUAGCCGAUGUGAGAGGGUGAUCGGCCACACUGGGAAUGAGACACGGCCCAGACUCCUACGGGAUGCAGCAGUAGGGAAUCGUCGGCAAUGGGGGGAACCCUGACCGAGCAACGCCGCGUGAGUGAAGAAGGUUAUCGGAUCGGAAAGCUCGGUUGUUAAGGAAGCGGUACUUAAAGAGAAAGGGACGGCUAACUACGUGCCAGCAGCCGCGGUAAUUG
rnacentral:rRNA from 1 species